AUUGAACGCUGGCGGCAGGCCUAACACAUGCAAGUCGAGCGGAUGAAGGGAGCUUGCUCCUGGAUUCAGCGGCGGACGGGUGAGUAAUGCCUAGGAAUCUGCCUGGUAGUGGGGUAUAACGUCCGGAAACGGGCGCUAAUACCGCAUACGUCCUGAGGGAGAAAGUGGGGGAUCUUCGGACCUCACGCUAUCAGAUGAGCCUAGGUCGGAUUAGCUAGUUGGUGGGGUAAAGGCCUACCAAGGCGACGAUCCGUAACUGGUCUGAGAGGAUGAUCAGUCACACUGGAACUGAGACACGGUCCAGACUCCUACGGGAGGCAGCAGUGGGGAAUAUUGGACAAUGGGCGAAAGCCUGAUCCAGCCAUGCCGCGUGUGUGAAGAAGGUCUUCGGAUUGUAAAGAACUUUAAGUUGGGAGGAAGGGCAGUAAGUUAAUACCUUGCUGUUUUGACGUUACCAACAGAAUAAGCACCGGCUAACUUCGUG
rnacentral:rRNA from 1 species